UCUGUCUUCUCUCUCUGUCUGCUAAGGGGAGCGAUCUGCUGAUAUUCUUGGUUUGGAUUCCAGCCCUCCCCCUUCCCUGCUGUGUGUUCCAGACCCCUUCAACCCUCUCCCACUCUCUGACACUCCAGAAAAGCUGAUUGAGGGACUCAAAUCCCCCGAGCCUCCCUUGCUGCUCCCUGAGCUUUUGCCUCUGGCUGACCCCUUCGGCAGCUCCACAGAGGGCUCCUACAACGGUAAAGUGGAUGCCGUUGUGGACUCUCUGAUUCCUGGUCUGGAAGCUCCCCAGGCUCAGAGGCUCCUCUCCCAGACUGACUCGCUGUCCUCCCCCCUCACAGGUGGUCAUUCGCGCACCAGCAGUGGCAGCUCGGAGUCCAGCCUGCCAACCCUGGCGUGCUCUCUGCUCCUUGUGGACCAGCUGAUUGACCUGUAAGGUCUCUCCUCCUCAUCAUCAUCCCUGCGGAGUCUGCUCUUCUUCUUC